rnacentral:lncRNA from 1 species
CAGUUAACCAUGCUUUGCCACAUCCCUCUCCACCUCAGCAAUCUAUCUGGAGGAGAAGCAGCUUCUCAAAAAGGAAGGGCUCAGGUGGGCCACUCUACGAAAACAUCCUUCCACUCGGAAGGAGAGGUGGUGGCAGAUAUGAAAUGAGGGAUGGCGGUGGGAGAAGAGGACGUCGUCCUCCUCCCCUUCCUCUGCCUAUACCUGUGCCUCUCUCUUCCCCAACACAGACUCCGCCCUCACCUUCUCCAUCUAUAUGCUACACAUCCACUUCGUCCAGCAGCUCCAGCACCUCCAGUUCAUCCUCUUCUUCAGAAUCAGUCUCCCGAUCCAAUUCUCCUUCAUCUUCAUCAUCGUACACAUCAUCCCAGAGCUUUAGAUACAGAGCAGAUGUACGAGAUGUGUAUGAGGACUAUGACACAGAUGAGCUUACGGAGGAGUCGAGCUUGCUUUUGGGGAGGAGAAAAAGUCGUUCACGUAUGUCCUCUCGAUCCCUGCCCAGCAGUCCUCCACCCCCACCUAUACCACCCCGCAAACCUUGCGGACAGAGGGCGCAGGUGAGAGACAGAGCAGGCAGCCAGAUUGCACAGCUUCAAGAGUGGUGGGCCUCUUGGGGAGAGAAAGAAAAGGCUAGAAGAGCAGCUGGAGAUAGAGAUGUUAAGGAGGAGAAACGACAUCAUAAAGAAAGGGAAAGAGAGAGAAAGAGGAGGAAGAAGGGUAGAAAGAAAAAGAAGAGAGAAGAGCGUGAAAGAGAAAGGGAACGUAAAAGACGUAAGGUGAAAAAGAAAAAGAAAAAAGAGGAGAAAUCAAGAAGAAGGGAGAGGGAAAAACGAUCUGAACAAGAGGAGGUAGAUAUGGACAGGAAAGAAGUCUUUGAAAAAGGUAUAGGACAGGAAUACUCUUCUUAUCCUGCUCCGAGGCGAAGCUCUUUCCGAAAAAAGAGCGAAAGCUCUACAAGGAGUUAUGAGUGGGAUAUUAUCCGAGAUGCAGUUAAGAGAGAUAGGGAUGAUCAAGGUGGAGAAGAUGAAGAAGGCAGUAGAGGAAAGGAAAGGCAUCAGAGAAGCCCAAAAUCACAACGCCACUCCAGGCCAAGGUCCAACAACAAGCAUUUUUCUAGCUCAAACAAACCUUCUUCAACUGUCAAAUUUUGGAGUUGUGGGAACCCAACUUCUGAUUCGCCAUCGUCUUUUGUACCCUUGCUUCCCAUAUCUAAAAGACGAAAGUCUGUAGGAGCUGAGAGAGACGAGCGAGGAAGAGGUGGAGAGAGUCGGCCCCUUUUGGGAAAAAACAAGAGAGUUAAGCCUUGCUCGAGAGAAGGCCUGUCAUUUCACGAAUGGGAUUCAGAGGAAGAAGGAGAUGAGGAGUCUGAAGUGGAAAGAAGCAGGCCAGAAGAACAGGGGCGACGACGAGAAAGC